GGGCCACAGCUCAGUUGGCAGGACAUGUGCCCUGCAUGCAGAAGGUCCCAGGUUCAAUCCCCGGGCAUCUCCA